rnacentral:rRNA from 1 species
GACGAACGCUGGCGGCGUGCCUAACACAUGCAAGUCGAGCGGGGUCCAUCCGGUAGCAAUACUGGGGAAGACCUAGCGGCGAACGGGUGAGUAACACGUGAGAAACCUGCCCGAAGUCUGGGAUAACCCGAGGAAACUCGAGCUAAUACCGGACGCCUUCUUCUGAUCGCAUGGUCGGAUGAAGAAAGAUUUAUCGCUUCGGGAGGGUCUCGCGGCCUAUCAGCUAGUUGGCGGGGUAACGGCCCACCAAGGCGUCGACGGGUAGCUGGUCUGAGAGGACGAUCAGCCACACUGGGACUGAGACACGGCCCAGACUCCUACGGGAGGCAGCAGUGGGGAAUAUUGCGCAAUGGGCGAAAGCCUGACGCAGCAACGCCGCGUGCGGGAU